rnacentral:piRNA from 1 species
UCAAAGUAAGGUCAUUUCAACUGAUGUC